rnacentral:rRNA from 1 species
UUCUCAACGGUGGAUAUCUAGGUUCCCAUAGCGAUGAAGAACGCAGCAAAGUGCGAUAAGCAGUGUGAAUUGCAGACCGUGAGUCACUUGAAUUUCGAACGCAUCUUGCGUCUGUGAGAAUUCUCGCAGGCAUGCUUGCUUCAGUGUC